GACGAACGCUGGCGGCGUGCCUAAUACAUGCAAGUCGAGCGAGCGGAACUAACAGAUUUACUUCGGUAAUGACGUUAGGAAAGCGAGCGGCGGAUGGGUGAGUAACACGUGGGGAACCUGCCCCAUAGUCUGGGAUACCACUUGGAAACAGGUGCUAAUACCGGCUAAGAAAGCAGAUCGCAUGAUCAGCUUUUAAAAGGCGGCGUAAGCUGUCGCUAUGGGAUGGCCCCGCGGUGCAUUAGCUAGUUGGUAAGGUAAAGGCUUACCAAGGCGAUGAUGCAUAGCCGAGUUGAGAGACUGAUCGGCCACAUUGGGACUGAGACACGGCCCAAACUCCUACGGGAGGCAGCAGUAGGGAAUCGUCCACAAUGGACGCAAGUCUGAUGGAGCAACGCCGCGUGAGUGAAGAAGGUGUUCGGAUCGUAAAGCUCUGUUGUUGGUGAAGAAGGAUAGAGGUAGUAACUGGCCUUUAUUUGACGGUAAUCAACCAGAAAGUCACGGCUAACUACGUG
rnacentral:rRNA from 1 species